rnacentral:tRNA from 2 species
GCCCACGUGGCUCAGCGGUAGAGCACCUCCUUGGUAAGGAGGGGGUCAUCGGUUCGAUUCCGAUCGUGGGCUCCA